rnacentral:rRNA from 1 species
AAUCAACGCUGGCGGCGUGCCUCAGACAUGCAAGUCGAACGCGAAAGUUCCCUUCGGGGGAUAAGUAGAGUGGCGUCCGGGUGAGUAACACGUAGGUAAUCUACCUUUGGGUGGGGAAUAACAACCGGAAACGGUUGCUAAUACCGCAUAAUGCAGCGGCACCACAUGGUGACAGUUGUUAAAGCGGGGGGAUCGCAAGACCUCGCGCCUAAAGAGGAGCCUGCGGCGGAUUAGCUAGUUGGAGGGUAACGGCCUACCAAGGCAACGAUCCGUAGCCGGCCUGAGAGGGCGGUCGGCCACACUGACACUGAAAUACGGGUCAGACUCCUACGGGAGGCAGCAGUCGGGAAUUUUGGGCAAUGGGCGAAAGACCUGACCCAGCAACGCCGCGUGAAGGAUGAAAUCCCUCGGGAUGUAAACUUCGCAAGAACAAGGAAGAAUAAGUAGGGGACAAUACCCCCUAUGAUGACGGUACUGUUUGUAAGCUCCGGCUAACUCCGUGCC